GAGCGGGAGGAGGCGGAGGAUGUUCCCGGCGGCCGCGGCGGCGGCCGGGGCAGCGCGGGCCAGAGGCGCGGCGCGCGGAGCCCUCGGCUGCCCGGCAGAGCGCGACGUUGGACGGGCUGCGACUUGCAGGCUCUGCGCUGCCCCGGGAGCUCCCAGCGCGAGUCCCGGGCUUUGUCUCCCGCGCUGCCUUCGCGGUGACGGUCAGGGGGCUCCAGGUCGGCGAAGGGCGCGGGCCGGGUGCCGCGGGGCCCGGGCCCGGACGCGACGCUCGGAAGGGAAGGGGCGGACAAAAAAAGACCAAAUGGCAAAGCAACCUUCCGAUGUAAGUUCUGAGUGUGACAGAGAAGGUGGACGAUUGCAGCCCGCAGAGAGGCCCCCUCAGCUCAGGCCUGGGGCCCCCACCUCUCUACAGACAGAGCGGCAAGGUAAUCCCGAAGGAGAAGGGGACCGCUGCCCCCAAGGCAGCCCCCAGGGCCCGCUGGCCCCACCGGCCAGCCCAGGCCCUUUCGCUACCAGAUCCCCGCUUUUCAUCUUCGUGAGAAGAUCCUCUCUGCUGUCUCGAUCCUCCAGUGGGUAUUUCUCUUUUGACACAGACAGGAGCCCGGCACCCAUGAGUUGUGAUAAAUCAACACAAACCCCAAGUCCUCCUUGCCAGGCCUUCAACCAUUAUCUCAGUGCGAUGGCUUCCAUGAGGCAGUCUCAGGCUGUACCUGCAGAUAUGCGCCCGGAGAUAUGGAUUGCGCAAGAGUUGCGGCGUAUUGGAGACGAAUUUAAUGCAUAUUACCCAAGGAGGUUAGAGCAAUAGAGGAAGUUGUCGUGUAGUUGUCAUGUGUUCAGUGCACUUGUGGGCAGUGGGGAAGCGUUUGAGACGGAGCUGUGGAGUCUGAACCCCUUGGAGCAGGAGAUGAGAGAGGCCCAGGUCUUCCUGAAUAAUUAUGAGGCAGCCGGAGCGCACCCGCAAAUGGUUCUCUUACGCCUGUUACGAUACAUCGUCCGUCUGGUGUGGAGGAUGCAGUGACGACGGGCUCCUCGUGGACCCGGGACGUGUGCAGACAUUUCGCUUGUUCAGACCGACAGGCCAGCGCCAGGGUCUCUCGGGACCAGUGCUGUGCAGCCCGCGGCUCUUUGCUGGAGGGGUGGGUGGGGAGCCACCGGCGAGUCCCCGCACCUGCACGUGGACCUGACCUUGUCUGUUCACCACCACGCGGCAGGCAGCAUUUCUGAUGAAACCUUGUUGUGAAUGUAAAUGAGGGAAGGUUCUCUUUUUAAACAAUGUACAAAUCAUGGUUCUCUGGAGCAGGAUUUUAUGCAAGAAUGGUGUUUACAUGUGGUGUGUCGUCCCCCCCCCACCUUCUUUGAUAAGAACAGGUUUUUCAAAAAGGAAAUGGAAACUUUUUAACCAACUUGUGAGUGAUUUUUGUACUAAAAUUUUAAGAACCUUUUGCCUACUCUCAGAGGAUUGUGUAAACUCUGCAGUGGAAACUGAGCCAGCUAAUUUAUGAAGCUGCCUUAGUUUAUUUUUAGACGUCACUGUACAGCAUUUUUAACCGGGAGAGGUGUGAGGUGGCCCCUCCCUUCCCUGCCAUUGCCCCUUGGACCUUUUUUUUUCUUUAAAUCAUUAUUAAUACCAAAAAAAGUUCUUACGAAAUGGAACUGGUUAAAGGGGCAGAGGGGUCUCUUGUCAGCCUGUAUUGAUGCGCCACUCCCGUUUUGUAAAUAUUUACUUACCUCCUCAAAUUCAUUUGCCUCUGUGGCAAAAUUCCAGAGUCUUGUGUUUUUCCUUACGUCCUUUCGUGAUGCUCCUUCAGCCUGUCGGGACGGUGACACACAUGUUUGGCCCAGUGUAUUUUCGUGAGAAAAAGUAAUUGGGUCAGAACACGAGUUAGCAUCCGCCUGUAUCAGACGCAGCUCGGUUCGGCCGUUGGUAGCUUACUCACUGGGAAGGGCUUGGUGACGGUUUUCGUUUGGUUUUGAUGGGCUUGUCAUUGAGCAGUGUUCUAAAGAGGUCGUUGCAGUCAUAACACAAAGCAUUACGCCCCCUCUCUCUUGGCUUUUCUGGACGCCCGCUUUCCCAUUGUCCCUGGAGGUACGUACGCUCAGCAUAAGGUCCCAGGGGCUUGACAUGCCCACCUGCAGCCGAGUUCAGCCGCAGGUGUCUUAAGCCCCAGCCUUCGUGGGAACUGGCUGCAGGCGGGGCUUCAGACAGCUGUUUCCUGGCUCUUCGUCCAGCUCAGAGUUCAUCUGGCCUCUGAUGGCACGCUCUUGGUUCCCACUCUCCUAAACCCACUUUGAAAUGCAGACUUCAUUCUGCUCUCAGCAAGUCCAUGAGAAAACCCCCAUCGGGCUCAAGUCUGAAAUGGCCCCUCGGCCUUCUUUCUGCCUGAUGUGUGGGUCACCUGUGCCGUUUCUCCUGAGAGAGCUGGAUUUUAUCAGGCCCCCUUCGUGCAACCAUUUCUGCUGCGUGUGCCCUUGCCCCAGGCCUGCGGUGACGAAGGCAGUGAAUGGAAGCCCACAAGCUGGCCGGUCUUUUCAAAGGCAGUUAAACAACUGGGGAGACCCAAGAAAGACAGGUUAGGGAGCACUGCAAAAGGAGAGGUGGGGACGACUCUGAACCCUUACAGUUUUUGAAACUUCUGAUCAUUUCAUAGCUUUUUAAAAGAAAACGUGACUUUUCAAAUGAGUCAGCAGUGCCAACAACGAUUGUAUGUGCUUGUGGCCCACUGAGGACCAGUGUUUUCCCGUCAUAGGUUGGAAAAUUCCAUUCGUUUUUCUAUUUUCAUAAUUUUGUACAAAUAUAUAUAUAUAUAUAUAUAUUGCAUAUACACUCUUCCUUAGAUAGAGAUAUUUGACUCCAAAUAGUCUUCCUUUUUAAAAAAAAUUUCUUUUCCCUCCAUAUCUUCUUGGGGUCUUGAAUCGUUUUACAGCUGUGUUGAGUCUCAGCUUGUGCCCUUGACAUCUCUGGAACCCCCUCUGGGGUCCUGGAGUCCACGCGGCUGUAAGCCGUGGACCUGCUGGACACACACACCAAAGACGUAUUUGGUUCUGGGCCCCGCCCCUCCCAGGAUCUCCGGACUCACGUGCCAGUCUCUGGGACUGGAGCACUUUACUCUUGUUUCUUCAGUCCUGGUGCCCCGGGGGCUGAGCCCUCGCUCACCCACGGGCAGGUUUACCUCGGGCCGGGCGGCCUCCAGGCUCCCGUGGAAGCAGCUCGUGAGGAAAUAAGAGAUUCUAUGAAUUGUACAAGUAUUAAGAGAUGUUGCCCCAGGACUUAAGAGAGAUGACUGGAUGUCUCUGUACUGUAUGUGUCUGUCUAUUAAGAUGCCUCCCUGCAGAAAGUAUACCCACUGUGGGUAUAUCUUUAACUUCAUAUUUUUUAUUUCUUUUACUUUUUGUAGGGAAAAAAAAACAAAAAAAACUCGAUCCCUUUUUGAAAACUUAAUGCGGGUUUUGUGCCUUGACCACCUCGUCUCGUGGGAGGUUUGUAGAAAGUGUCCUGUGAUGUAUCACAGAAAUGCAAUAAACACACACAAAAUUAACUUCAUUAGUGCAUCUUCAAAUUACCUGGACUCCUACCUAGAAAUGAGUUUAUGAAUUUUGGCGGGGGGCGGGGGGCAGAUUGUGGAGAAGCCAGGUAAAAAUCUCUUCUGAUUAAGAAAAGAAAAGAAAAAAAAAAGUACACAGUAGACUACACUUUCUCCUGUUUCCCCAUCUUAAUAUUGUAUAUAUUUUGACUAUUUAUUAGAUUAGGAAGUCAUAUUUUACUUAUCAACUGAGCCAAAUGUCUGUGUGCAAUUAUUGUGUUUCCUUUUACCUUUCUUGUAAAAUUUUGUACAGCAUAAAUGAGUAAAAAACAAAAAAAUCACUGUUUCUACUAAACUUUUUCAGAAUUGAGGAUUGUAAAUAUUGUAGAUUCUUUUUCUGUGUAAUGUGUCCUACUGUUUCAUCAUGCUGUAACUUGUAGAAAUGUUGUAUAUUUAUUUCUGGCUAAUUUAAUGUCUUAUGUUCUUUAAAGUGUUGACCUCCCUUCCCCCUGCCCCCUGCUGUCCCAUUAAUGGCUUGAACUCUGAGGUGGUGACUGGUCAGCUCCCAACAGGCCACGUGGUCGUCUCGGGGUCGCCCUCCAGCUUUGGUUCCUGGUAUUCCUGGUCAGAUGGGUUUAAAUUCUCGGGGUCCUAAUGAUGCAGUUUGUGUUAAGACGCCAGGCUAUAAAAUUCUACUCUAGAACUCUCCAGUGGCUUUCUUUUGUUCCAAAACAGCUAACUUCUUGUGGAAGCAAAUGCUGUUAGCUCCAGGCCGUAUCUUAAAACAACAACAAAAAAAGUCGGCUGUUGAAGAUUUUCCCAUUGAAAACUUAUCCCUGACAAGGCAGCGUUCAGAGGAAAGGAAAUGUCCUCUUCUAGAGGUGAUGCCAUGAGGUUGUCGAGGGCAAGCAUCAGGCAGGACGGAGGGACAGGUGGGACAGUUGCCCCUGCUUCCAGAGCAACUUCAGGACCACCUCCCACUACUAACCUUGUCAGCAACUGGUGAGUAGCUGAGUCCCCCCACCCCUGGCCCGCUCUGUGGCUCUGUGCUUUGAGGUGUGGAGUGAACUGUGUGUCUUCAGGAACUAAUUGUACAGUGUCCCCCCCCCACCCAGCCCUGAACCAUUGGUCCCUGCAUUUUGAUCCACCUGCUUCUUCAGGGUGAUGCCUUGUUUCUGCUUCUCCAAAGCCUUCAAGAGAGGUUGGGGGCCCCACUGGACUGGGUGUUAAAAUGUGAAAGCUCGUGGAAGCUUUAAAGAGACUUCCUAGCGGUUCUGUGUCGAUGAUGGCUGUGUCAUCCCUGCUGAUUUAGCCUGGUGCCUGUGUGUGUCCACCUUGUGCACACGUAUGUGCAGGGAUGCGUCCACACGUGUCGCUAAACCAGCUGGGGUAACGCCUGUCCUGCUCCAAACGGUAUUGUGUGUAAGAAGCUCCCAGCUAAGUAACUUGACUACUUUGAUUUGGGAAUUUCAGACUUUAGAAGCUCUCUUAAGUUCUACAUCCAGGUUCUUGACCACUAGUUACUGUAUCAGAACUCAUCAGGUACACGUUUAUAAAUAGCACUGAUCUGUCUGUAUACUGACUCAUCACUAACUUGUUCCCUAGGACCCAGCGUAUGUAGCAUUUGUAUUGCAAUUUCCCUGGCUUCCUUGUGUUUUGCACUGAUGAAUUUUGACAGGGUAAAUUGCCACUUUACUUGUGCAAUACUGCUGUAAAUAACUGCAAAUUUUUUUUUUUAAGAAACGCAAUCUUUUAUGUUCUUAAUGAAUUUUAUAUGAAUAAAACUUUCAACUAGU